ACAUCCACCACUUCUCUGACCCCACGCAGGCUGCUUCCCAGGCCUCAUGGUACUAGUGUGGACCUCCUGGCUGUGAUUAAUGCAGGUCAGCAGGACCAGAGCGUCCCUUGGUCCCUCCCAACCCAUGAGGGUAUUUUCUGUGGUGAGUUUUUUAGAUUAAGUACUGCACGACUACUCGCUUCUGAAACUGUCAUAAGAAACUGCCUCAGCUCCCUGCAGGGUGGACACACAAGAGCAGAAUCUCCGUGGGACAUCUCUUUGGAGCAUCAAUAUUACUACAGUAUUUGGAAGACACAAAUUUAAAUAAUUUCUAAGGUAAAGAAUGGAACAUUUAAGACAAGGCUGGAAAGUCAUCUGCCUUUAAUAACUCAUCUGUGCCUCACAUGUCAGACUUUCUCCAAGAAAAAAACUAAGGAGAACUUAUUUCCAUUCUUAUAAGUAGUAAAAAUAAUAAAUCAUAUCAAGUCAA
rnacentral:lncRNA from 1 species